rnacentral:rRNA from 1 species
UGCAGUCGAGCGAAUGGAUUAAGAGCUUGCUCUUAUGAAGUUAGCGGCGGACGGGUGAGUAACACGUGGGUAACCUGCCCAUAAGACUGGAAUAACUCCGNAAAACCGGGGCUAAUACCGGAUAACAUUUUGAACCGCAUGGUUCGAAAUUGAAAGGCGGCUUCGGCUGUCACUUAUGGAUGGACCCGCGUCGCAUUAGCUAGUUGGUGAGGUAACGGCUCACCAAGGCAACGAUGCGUAGCCGACCUGAGAGGGUGAUCGGCCACACUGGGACUGAGACACGGCCCAGACUCCUACGGGAGGCAGCAGUAGGGAAUCUUCCGCAAUGGACGAAAGUCUGACGGAGCAACGCCGCGUGAGUGAUGAAGGCUUUCGGGUCGUAAAACUCUGUUGUUAGGGAAGAACAAGUGCUAGUUGAAUAAGCUGGCACCUUGACGGUACCUAACCAGAAAGCCACGGCUAACUACGUGCCAGCAGCCGCGGUAAUACGUAGGUGGCAAGCGUUAUCCGGAAUUAUUGGGCGUAAAGCGCGCGCAGGUGGUUUCUUAAGUCUGAUGUGAAAGCCCACGGCUCAACCGUGGAGGGUCAUUGGAAACUGGGAGACUUGAGUGCAGA